GCCAACGUCCAUACUACGUUGAAUACACCGGUUCUCGUCCGAUCACCGAAGUUAAGCAACGUCGGGCGCGGUCAGUACUUGGAUGGGUGACCGCCUGGGAACACCGCGUGACGUUGGCU
rnacentral:rRNA from 1 species